AGUAACGCGUAAAGAACUUAGCCCUUUAGACUGGGAGUAACAGAGGGAAACUUCUGAUAAUAACUGGAUAAGUUAGUAUAUCGCAUGAUAUGCAAAUGAAAGCUACGGCACUAAAGGAGAGCUUUGCGUCCUAUUAGCUAGUUGGUAAGGUAAGAGCUUACCAAGGCGAUGAUAGGUAGCCGGCCUGAGAGGGUGGACGGCCACAAGGGGACUGAGAUACGGCCCUUACUCCUACGGGAGGCAGCAGCU
rnacentral:rRNA from 1 species